rnacentral:rRNA from 1 species
UGGCGGACGGGUGAGUAACGCGUAAAGAACUUGCCCUUUAGGCUGGGAUAGCAGAGGGAAACUUCUGAUAAUACUGGAUAAGUUAGUAUAUCGCAUGAUAUGCAAAUGAAAGCUACGGCACUAAAGGAGAGCUUUGCGUCCUAUUAGCUAGUUGGUAAGGUAAGAGCUUACCAAGGCGAUGAUAGGUAGCCGGCCUGAGAGGGUGGACGGCCACAAGGGGACUGAGAUACGGCCCUUACUCCUACGGGAGGCAGCAGAC